rnacentral:rRNA from 1 species
GAGUUUGAUCCUGGCUCAGGAUGAACGCUAGCGGCAGGCUUAACACAUGCAAGUCGAGGGGUAUUUAUCUUCGGAUAGAGAGACCGGCGCACGGGUGCGUAACGCGUAUGCAAUCUACCUUUUACAGAGGGAUAGCCCAGAGAAAUUUGGAUUAAUACCUCAUAGUAUUAUUAAAUGGCAUCAUUUUAUAAUUAAAGUCACAACGGUAAAAGAUGAGCAUGCGUCCCAUUAGCUAGAUGGUAAGGUAACGGCUUACCAUGGCUACGAUGGGUAGGGGUCCUGAGAGGGAGAUCCCCCACACUGGUACUGAGACACGGACCAGACUCCUACGGGAGGCAGCAGUGAGGAAUAUUGGACAAUGGGCGCAAGCCUGAUCCAGCCAUGCCGCGUGCAGGAUGACGGUCCUAUGGAUUGUAAACUGCUUUUGUACGAGAAGAAACACUGCUUCGUGAAGCAGCUUGACGGUAUCGUAAGAAUAAGGAUCGGCUAACUCCGUGCCAGCAGCCGCGGUAAUACGGAGGAUCCAAGCGUUAUCCGGAAUCAUUGGGUUUAAAGGGUCCGUAGGCGGUUUAGUAAGUCAGUGGUGAAAGCCCAUCGCUCAACGGUGGAACGGCCAUUGAUACUGCUGAACUUGAAUUAUUAGGAAGUAACUAGAAUAUGUAGUGUAGCGGUGAAAUGCUUAGAGAUUACAUGGAAUACCAAUUGCGAAGGCAGGUUACUACUAAUAUAUUGACGCCGAUGGACGAAAGCGUGGGUAGCGAACAGGAUUAGAUACCCUGGUAGUCCACGCCGUAAACGAUGGAUACUAGCUGUUGGGAGCAAUUUCAGUGGCUAAGCGAAAGUGAUAAGUAUCCCACCUGGGGAGUACGUUCGCAAGAAUGAAACUCAAAGGAAUUGACGGGGGCCCGCACAAGCGGUGGAGCAUGUGGUUUAAUUCGAUGAUACGCGAGGAACCUUACCAAGGCUUAAAUG